rnacentral:rRNA from 1 species
CCUACGGGAGGCAGCAGUAGGGAAUCUUCCACAAUGGGCGAAAGCCUGAUGGAGCAACGCCGCGUGGGUGAAGAAGGUCUUCGGAUUGUAAAGUUCUUUUCUAAGGGAAGAAGAAAGUGACGGUACCUUAGGAAUAAGCCUCGGCUAACUACGUGCCAGCAGCCGCGGUAAUACGUAGGAGGCAAGCGUUAUCCGGAAUGACUGGGCGUAAAGGGUGCGUAGGUGGUUUGACAAGUUGGUAGCGUAACUCCGGGGCUCAACCUCGGCACUACUACCAAAACUGUCGGACUUGAGUGCAGGAGGGGCAAAUGGAAUUCCUAGUGUAGCGGUGGAAUGCGUAGAUAUUAGGAGGAACACCAGUGGCGAAGGCGAUUUGCUGGACUGUAACUGACACUGAGGCACGAAAGCGUGGGGAGCAAACAGGAUUAGAUACCCGAGUAGUC